UGGCUCAGAACGAACGCUGGCGGCGCGCUUAAUACAUGCAAGUCGAGCGAGAACCAGGGCUUCGGCUCUGGGGACAGCGGCGAACGGGUGGGUAACACGUGGGUAAUCAACCCCCGACACCGGGAUAGCCCAGGGAAACUUGGAUUAAUACCGGAUGCCCCAUCUGGCUUUCGAGCCGGCUGGAAAAGGGUAGCUUCGGCCUCUGGUCGGGGACGAGCCCGCGGCGGAUUAGCUUGUUGGUGAGGUAACGGCUCACCAAGGCGGGGAUCCGUAGCUGGUCUGAGAGGACGAUCAGCCACACUGGGACUGAGACACGGCCCAGAAUCCUACGGGAGGCA
rnacentral:rRNA from 1 species